rnacentral:lncRNA from 1 species
UUUUCAAAUGUAAAUAAAUUCUUGGAUAAUUGUAAUACAUAGCAAAUAAGAGAGAAAACACAAUGUAUUAAGAUUGGACCAGUAUAAGUUCUACCCAAUGAUGCUUUGUUAUUAGAUGAAGAAAAUAGCUCGAUUAAAACUAUAUUAAAGACAAAUACUAAUUAAUGAAAUAAUGAUAAAAGAGGAUUAGACUAAUAGCACAUGACUACCAAAACCAUAUAAAUAAGGAUAGAAUAUUAACAAAACAAAAAGACAUAUAGAGUAUAUAGAUGAUCCUUCAAUUAGAAGGAAUAGAAGAUAGUAUUGGAUUAUCAUGGACAACAAUGAAAACAUGGAUUGGAUAAUCAAUGGCACAUUAGAGAAUGUAACUUCCAAUAAUGAAGUCUUAGCCCAUACUCUCUCUACAUCCCAAAAAUUUGUGGAGAUGAAAAAAAGCUAGUUCUUAAUUAAAUAUAGAUGUAUAGCUAAUCUAAAGAAAAAAAAAU